rnacentral:rRNA from 1 species
CACGUAGGGGGCUAGCGUUGUCCGGAAUCAUUGGGCGUAAAGCGCGUGUAGGCGGCCCGGUAAGUCCGCUGUGAAAGUCGGGGGGCUCAACCCUCGGAUGCCGGUGGAUACUGUCGGGCUCGAGUACGGAAGAGGCGAGUGGAAUUCCUGGUGUAGCGGUGAAAUGCGCAGAUAUCAGGAGGAACACCAAUUGCGAAGGCAGCUCGCUGGGACGUUACUGACGCUGGAGACGCGAAAGCGUGGGGAGCAAACAGG